GUGCAAGCCGUCCGCUAAAAUGUUAAACAAAAUAGUACACGGUGAAACCGCGAAAGGCUCAUUAAAUCAGUUAUGGUUCCUUAGAUCGUGCCCACGUUACUUGGAUAACUGUGGUAAUUCUAGAGCUAAUACAUGCCGACAGAGUUCUGACCAGCGCCGAGCGGGCGCGCACAUAUGCGCGCCACCGCGCGCACCCAUGCCAGAUCCUGCAUGCGGUGUCGUCGACGGCGGCCGCGUUGUGCGCCGCGUGUCUCCGGAGUUUGGAAGGAACGCUCUUAUUAGAUCAAAACCGGCCAAGCGGGGUCGUUGCUUAACGCGUGUGUGCGCUGCCACGUGUAUGCGUGUAUAGGCGUUCGCGCGUGUGCUCGUAUCCGUGCGCAUACCGCACACACGUGUCUUCGUCCCCCGUAAGUGGCCCGCGCAAAGACUUGACGACUCUGAAUAAUUUCUAGCUGAUCGCACGGUCGAAACGUUUUAUUCCGCAAAUGAAAAACAGCACCGGCGACGUAUCUUUCAAAUGUCUGCCUUAUCAACUGUCGACGGUAGGUUCGACGCCUACCGUGGUGGUAACGGGUAACGGGGAAUCAGGGUUCGAUUCCGGAGAGGGAGCCUGAGAAACGGCUACCACAUCCAAGGAAGGCAGCAGGCGCGCAAAUUACCCACUCCCAGCUCGGGGAGGUAGUGACGAAAAAUAACGAUACGGGACUCAUCCGAGGCCCCGUAAUCGGAAUG
rnacentral:rRNA from 1 species